rnacentral:rRNA from 1 species
AUUGAACGCUGGCGGCAGGCCUAACACAUGCAAGUCGAACGCGUGGCGGACGGGUGAGUAAUGUCUGGGAAAAUGCCCGAUGGAGGGGGGUAACUAAUGGAAACGGUAGCUAAUACCGCAUACCAUCGGAUGUGCGCAGAUGGGAUUAGCUAGUAGGGGGGGUAACGGCUCACCUAGUCGACGAUCCCUAGCUGGUCUGAGAGGAUGACCAGCCACACUGGAACUGAGACACGGUCCAGACUCCUACGGGAGGCAGCAGUGGGGAAUAUUGCACAAUGGGCGCAAGCCUGAUGCAGCCAUGCCGCGUGUAUGAAGAAGGCCUUCGGGUUGUAAAGUACUUUCAGCGAGGAGGCGUUACUCGCAGAAGAAGCACCGGCUAACUCCGUGCCAGCAGCCGCGGUAAUUC